rnacentral:rRNA from 1 species
UGGCCCGCGGGAUUCGAUUAAGCCAUGCAAGUCGAAUGUAGCAAUACAUGGCGUACUGCUCAGUAACACGUGGACAACCUGCCCUUAGGACGGGUAUAAACCCGGGAAACUGGGUAUAACUCCCGAUAGGUCUCGUCUGCUGGAAUGCAUCGAGAUCCAAAGCUCCGGCGCCUAAGGAUGGGUCUGCGGCCUAUCAGGUAGUAGUGGGUGUAGCGUACCUACUAGCCUACAACGGGUGCGGGUUGUGAGAGCAAGAGCCCGGAGAUGGAUUCUGAGACACUAAUCCAGGCCCUACGGGGUGCAGCAGGCGCGAAAACUUUACAAUGCUGGGAACAGCGAUAAGGGAACCUCGAGUGCCAGGUUACAAAUCUGGCUGUCGUGAUGCCUAAAAAGCAUUAUAUAGCAAGGGCCGGGCAAGACCGGUGCCAGCCGCCGCGGUAACACCGGCGGCUCGAGUGGUAACCGUUAUUAUUGGGUCUAAAGGGUCUGUAGCCGGCCGGAUAAGUCUCUUGGGAAAUCUGGCAGCUUAACUGUCAGGCUUUCAGGGGAUACUGUCUGGCUCGAGGCCGGGAGAGGUGAGAGGUACUUCAGGGGUAGGGGGUGAAAUCUUGUAAUCCUUGAAGGACCACCAGUGGCGAAGGCGUCUCACCAGAACGGACCUGACGGCAAGGGACGAAAGCUAGGGGCACGAACCGGAUUAGAUACCCGGGUAGUCCUAGCCGUAAACGAUACUCGCUAGGUGUCGGCCACGGUGCGACCGUUGUCGGUGCCGUAGGGAAGCCGUGAAGCGAGCCACCUGGGAAGUACGGCCGCAAGGCUGAAACUUAAAGGAAUUGGCGGGGGAGCAGGCCAUGCGAGUCGAACGAGUUUAGGCUCGUG